AACGAACGCUGGCGGCAUGCCUAACACAUGCAAGUCGAACGAGACCUUCGGGUCUAGUGGCGCACGGGUGCGUAACGCGUGGGAACCUGCCCUUAGGUUCGGAAUAACUCCCCGAAAGGGGUGCUAAUACCGGAUAAUGUCUUCGGACCAAAGAUUUAUCGCCUUUGGGUGGGCCCGCGUUGGAUUAGCUAGUUGGUAGGGUAAAAGCCUACCAAGGCGACGAUCCAUAGCUGGUCUGAGAGGAUGAUCAGCCACACUGGGACUGAGACACGGCCCAGACUCCUACGGGAGGCAGCAGUGGGGAAUAUUGGACAAUGGGCGAAAGCCUGAUCCAGCAAUGACGCGUGAGUGAUGAAGGCCUUAGGGUUGUAAAGCUCUUUUACCCGGGAUGAUAAUGACAGUACCGGGAGAAUAAGCUCCGGCUAACUCCGUG
rnacentral:rRNA from 1 species